rnacentral:rRNA from 1 species
AACGCUGGCGGCGCGCUUAACACAUGCAAGUCGAGCGAGAACCUGGGCUUCGGCCCAGGGGACAGCGGCGAACGGGUGAGUAACACGUGGGUAAUCUGCCCUCGGCAUCGGGAUAGCCCGGGGAAACCCGGAUUAAUACCGAAUAGCCUCCGGAGCCUUCGGGCGCCGGAGAAAAGGUAGUUCCGGCCUCUGGCCGAGGAUGAGCCCGCGGCGGAUUAGCUUGUUGGCGGGGUAACGGCCCACCAAGGCGACGAUCCGUAGCUGGUCUGAGAGGACGAUCAGCCACACUGGGACUGAGACACGGCCCAGACUCCUACGGGAGGCAGCAGUGGGGAAUCUUGCGCUAAUGCGGGAAACCGUGACGCAGCGACGCCGCGUGGGGGAAGAAGGCCUUCGGGUUGUAAACCUCUUUCAGGAGGGACGAAGCUACUCGGGUGAAUAGCCCAGAGGGUGACGGUACCUCCAGAAGAAGCCCCGGCUAACUACGUGCCAGCCGCCGCCGUAAUAC